UGUAUUUGAAUAAUCAUAUGUUGUGUGCAUUUUUGUUCGAAAAAAAUUGGAAAAAGUUCGAGUACACACAAAAUUUCUAUCACAACAGAUUCUGGAAUUACAGUUUCAUCUGUUGCGUGUUUUUUUAUUAAUGGGUAUCGGCUUAUUUUUACGAUUCCGAUGAUUAAUUUACUGGUUGAACAUUAAAAAAAAUCCGGAUGCCAUUAAGCUACGCGGCAUUGGCUGUAUCGGUUCACAUUCGUUUCAGACAGCUGUACCUAGAGCCCUAAAGAAAACAUGAAAAUUACCUUUUUUCCAUUGGGAACGAAGGCAGUGUGUUGUUGUUAAAGGAAGGAUUUACAACAAUCAAUGAACUGAAUGUUCAUGAGAAGGAAUUUGCAGUUAAUAUUGAUGUCACUGAAACAACCGAUGCUUUGACAUGAGGGAGAGACAACUGGAAAUUACUUUAGAAACACCUGAAACAGCAGAUUCUCUGCAGUGGUAUCCCUCCUGGAUUUGGCUUGCAUAUUACACUUGUGGGCUUUAGAAUGCUACCUUCUGCAAUUAAUUGAGGUUGCCCAACAAAUGAGAGAAUUAAAGAUUAGUUUGGCCAUACUAAACCAAUCAAUGUAUAUAUGGGUGUGGUCCUUCAUGGAUUUGCUGUUUUCGUUUUGCAACACUAUCCAGUUAAUUUUUAACCGAUGAUUGAGAGCAACUGGAGCUUCAAUUUGAAUUUGAAUUCCACUGAAACAACAAAUUUUCUGCGAUGGCAUUCCUCCUAGAUUCAGUUUGGUAUUGACACGUGCAAACUUUGGAAUGUUCCAGUCUACAGUUAAUUAAGAUCGACGAUGGAGAAGACAAAGAAGAUCCCAUAGUUAAAAUAGUUCUCUAUCUUGCAUGCUCACUAGUAGAAUUAAUUGUUGAAGUUCAGUUUAUUCAAAUUAAUUUUUUAUUUUGCAUGUUCAUUUUAUUUGAUUAUUUUUAUUUUGCAUGC